ensembl:lncRNA
UAUGACUCUUACUCUGAUAUAUUUGCUUUCUAAGAUACCUUUUUCAAUUUUAAUUCUAAGUACACAGUGUGGAAGAUGCAAUUAGAAAAUGAAUUUAUUUUGGUGUUGCAUAUAUGACUGAUUUUCCAAAAUUAAUGGAAAAUGUGUAUUAUGAAAAAACUGUGCAGGUAUUUCAAAAUAUUUUUCACCAAAAUAAACUUAUCUUUCAUUUGGUCUUUUACUUAUUUUCUUCUUUAUUUGAAAGGCAGGGAGAGAAAGAGCCAUCUGCCGUCCUCCUUCUGGUUCACCUGCAACCGCCAGGACUGCGCAGGCGCAAGCUGGGAGUCGGGGCUUCCAUCCGGGGCUUCCACUGAGUGCCGGAACCGCCGCCUCCGCCAUCUUCUCUCCUUGUAUCUUCAGCCUCCAUUUUCCUUGUCUCUGUCAUGGAAAGAAGCUUAAAGUCGUCUCCCCAGCAGCGGAGCCACCUCCUCUGCACAGAGUCCCGAAGCUUUAUUUCCACUUCCUUUAAACAGCCAGGACUGAAAGGAGGAGGAAGGAGAGGGCAGAUUCCCCAGUGUUUGAAAGAACUGGAGGGUGAGGGGCAAGAUUUGGACUAUUUUCUUCUCUUUUUAGCCUUCGGUGGGGACUGUCGUGACCCUAUGAAGUCAGCUGUCCUCUUUCGUUUCAAGAAAUCGAUUUGUUUCCUAGAACAACUGAGCCAGCGACUGGGGAGACCUUUGUCCAGGUGUUGCUGGGACCUGGGUCAGAGCGUGUGCUGUGGUUGGAAGGUGACUGUUUCUACUAGCAGCACAUCCGGCUCAAAAGGCAGAUGGACCUGCUGCUGAAAUGAGAACCUAGAACUCAAGUCAAGUAGAGCUCCGUCUGAAUUCACCACAAGACAUUCGUUGCUUAACAAGUGUGAAGCACACGCUACCUGUGCAAAUGUGGUCGUUUACUGAGAUGUUAAUUUGCAUUUUCAUUCGCAAAAUGGUAAAUGGUCUCCCUUCCCCAGCCUCCCCACCACCAAAUAGCCAAAGCAGGAGUUUCCAGACUCCUUUAUUUUAUUUAUUUAUUUAUUUUUGACAGGCAGAGUGGAUCAUGAGAGAGAGAGAGACAAAGAGAAAGGUCUUCCUUUGCCAUUGGUUCACCCUCCAAUUGCCACGGCAGGCGCACUGCGGCGGGUGCACCGCGCUGAUCCGAAGGCAGGAGCCAGGUGCUUCUCCUGGUCUCCCAUGGGGUGCAGGGCCCAAGCACUUGGGCCAUCCUCCACUGCACUCCCUGGCCACAGCAGAGGGCUGGCCUGGAAGAGGGGCAACCGGGACAGAAUCCGGCGCCCCAACCGGGACUAGAACCCGGUGUGCCGGCGCCGCAAGGCGGAGGAUUAGCCUAGUGAGCCACGGCGCCGGCCUUCCAGACUCCUUUAAAUCAGCACCCUUUGCCCUCUGCCUCGGAUGACCAGUGUGGGAAGGUCUGACAGGGACGAGGCCUUUGAGGGCUGAGAGACGUGGAGCAAGCCAACAGCAACUGCCAGCAGGCAGGGGAGAGAGGUAAAAUGAGGGAUAGCUCCCCAGAUAAUAGGAAAGGUAGGGUAGGAUGGGGCAUGUUAUGGGAUCCAGAAAAGUGAAACCAGCAGGUCGUCGUCGUCCUCUUCUUCUUCUUUUUUAAAAGAUUUAUUUGUUAAUUUGAAAGGUAGAGUUACAGAGAGAGGGAGAGACAGAAAGAGAGGUCUUCCAUCCACUCAUUCACUCCCCAAAUAGCUGCAGCAGCAGGAACUGGGCAGAUCUGAAGCCAGGAGCCAGGAGCUUCUUCUGGGUCUCCCAAGUGGGUGCAGGGGACCAAGCACUUGGGCCAUCUUCUUCUGCUUUUCCAGGCCAUAGUAGAAAGCUAGAUCAGAAGUGGAGCAGCCGUGACACAAACCAGCACCCAUAUGGGAUGCCAACACCACAGGUGGAGGCUUAGCCUACUAUGCCACAGCACCAGUCCCUGGCAGGUCUUCUGUGGGCCGAGCAGAGGGAGUUGUGACUCCAGGUACAGAGACCCUGGGCCUUGACCAAGACCUCCUGUGCUUACGCUUGCCUCCAAGGCAGCAGAAAUUACACCGGCAAGGCUGGCUGGGACCACGGAUCUAGCAGAGUCCGGCCUGGGUUGACCAUUGGAGGGUGUCUCCACCAGUAUUCUAGACCAUACAAGCUACCAAGAAUCUCUGUGCAAACUUAGAGAGCGAGCAGAGGGCCUCCCCAAACAUGGCCGAAAUGGAAUUCUGCAGCAGCCAGGCGGGCGGGGCACAUCAGUGGACUUAGUGAAUGAGCAUUUGCUUCUACCCGAGCCAGCUCCCAGGGAGUUCAGUGCACACCCAUCAGAUAAACACCGACUUUGAUCCACAUGACAAUCUUUAUCCUUCUUUUACUUUCAAAUUUUAUCUAUAUGGGUAUAUUCAAUUUAAUAGUUUACAAGAGUCCGAUAAGCCUUGUCACAUACAGAAUCUCAUUAGACUUCGAUGGCGAAUAUGGCAGGUGCUGUCUGAUUUGCUGAAGUCUUUUCAUGGCCUGUUGCCAUCUUGGGGAGCCUCGGGUGGGUCCCCUGCUGUCCCAUGCAUUCUCAGGAUUGGCCACCAGCACUUCCGGCCUUAACAUUUGUCGAUAUGUUGAUUUCUCUAACUCUCAUUCUUUUGAUCUGCCUUGCCCCAUGCAUACAGGGACACCCUGUGGGUGAUCCUCAUCAAUACUCCAUGUCUGGCUGAGCUCUUGGCUAAUUCCAAUCUUCUCAAUAUGGGGGCUCUUCUACUUCUUUGUUUUAAUUUGUCCAGAAUAAUAAGCAUAUGAGGGUACUCAAAAAGUGCAUAGGAAAAUAAAUUUAAAAGAGAAGUUUAUUUGGGGGCA